GAUUUGAGGACUGGAUCAGGGUGACUUUAAUCUUUUUUUAUAGCCUUAUAAACUCGUUGGCUAUUUUACAAUGAGGGCAUACUACUUUUUUAGCUUGAAAAAGAUACUAAAGAAAAAUAAAAGAUGUAAAAGAAUAACAAUGACAAAAACCACUAUCAGAUCUUUAGGCUGGGUGAGUGAGAUGAAGCUGUUCUCAAGGAGAACAGUCCAAAAAUUACUGAGAGUGUUCAGAAAAGAGGUGCAAAGGUAUGAGUUCAGCAUUGUCAGAGGAAGGGAGAGGAGCAGAUCGGAGAGACACUUAGUGAUUCAACAGGGUUUGGAGCCAGAGGAGCCUCAUGGUGAGGGACAAGCUUGGCUUUCCUGCUGUGUCUAACCUGAGCUGCCGCGCGGAUGAUGGUUACCAGCUACAUUUGUAGAAAAUAUAAACAAAAGAGUCCGUUUCGGAAAUGGGAAAGGUGAUACAUUCAGUUUGGGGCACAUUAAGUUUGAGGAGCCUAUAGGCCACCAAAACAGGCAUAUCUAAAAGGCCAUAUAGGUUUGAGACUCCAAGAAUGUAUGACAUUAGCAUAUAUAAAUGGCCCUUUAAGCCACAGGCAAUGAUAAAAUUGCUUAGAAAGAGAUACACAGGCAGUGGCAAGGGAAGGGGGUGGAGGGUGAAUCCACUUUUACCAAAGAGAAAGAGGAAAAGAAACUUGUUAUGGAGACUUGGGAGCAGCUGGAGGGAAAGAGGAACCCCACGGAGCAGAGCCUCACAGAACAGAGGCAGGAGGAGGAGCAGCUUUCUAGAAAGGAUACCAAGUUAGAUAAGAAGUGAAAUAUGACCAUAGCCUGUUGGGUCACUGAGGCCUGGUCUGGAAGAGUUUCAGAAGGGGGGUGAGGCCCCAAGUCAGGUUGCAGAAGGAUGAGGAGUGACUAGGAUUAGAGUAGGUUGAGAAAGACUUAACUGUGAAAGGAAAGAGAAAAGAGGAUUCUAGAUAGGGGAAUACCGGAUCCUGUCACCCCAGAUUUAUUUAUUAUUUGGUAGUUGUUACAAGAGAUAUGAUCACGGGGAUGUGCUGAGGAAAGAAAGCCAGGAAAAGAUACGUUGACGACCUAGAGGAGAGAGUAAAUAAUUAAUGAAACAGGGCUUGGGGGUGGGGCUGAAGUCCAGAGUUCAGUUCUCUGGGACAGGACAGGGGAGAGCUACUUUUUCCCCAUUGAGAACAGAAAGAAGAGAAAGGGCUAUUGCAUGAAUUAGAGGGCUAAGAGACUGGGAGACAAGGCUUGAGGAUGUCUUGUUGGGGGUGAAAAGCAGGUCGAUGAGAGUAAGGGGAUAUAGAACAGUAAGGUAGAUAUUGUGAGCAGAACAUCAAAUAUUCUUAAGUCUUGGGGCUUAAGGUCUCUGAAGUGGAAUAGUUUGAAGAUGAUGACAAGAUUCAGAGUGUGACCACAUGGAUGAAGCAUUGGCAAAGUGAGAAGAAGCAUUGGAGUCCAAGCUUCUACUGUGAAUGUAGAGUGACAUCUUGACCCAGGAAGGUGACCUGCCCAUUGUCGAUCAUUCAGGACACAACCUCAUCAUGGUGCAUCUCACCUUGGGUCCCACUUGUCUUGGUGGCAUCUCCCCUGAGGGACUGACCGAGAUUCCAGAGGGUCUCAGAGGACGAGAGCAUUUACUGCACAUGUUUCAGAUGGAGAAACGUAAAUAAGAGGAGGACGUCAGAGCUGGAAGCCCUUGCUCAUCUAGUGUGAUCGCCAGACCAGCAGUAUCAGUAUCACCUGGGAGUCUGAUGGAAAUGGAUGCUCUCAGGCCCAAGACCUGCUGAUUUACAACCUGCAUUUUCAACAGGAUUCCCAAGUGAUUCAUAUGUACUCAAACUUGAGAAGCACUGAAGCAGGCAAAGUGAGAAGAACAUAUGAGACACAAGGGACCCAAAGACUAACAACAUGAAGAGAUCACUCCCACUCCCAGGGCUGUAGGAACAAAGGGAGGAAAUUAUGAGACUGGAACCACUGGAUAUAUUAAAAAUCAUCAACUUCUACACUUUAAAUGGGUGAAUUAUAUGGUAUAUUAUAUUAUACCAUAUAAUUAUAUCUCAAUAAAACUAUGAGGAAAGGAAAAACACACACAAAAAUGCAUGCAAAAUCUGUCUGUUGAAAUCUCCAAAGUAUUAAAGAAAGAAAGCAAUGGAAAUAAAUGGAGUAAUAUGCCAUGUUCAUGGAUUGGAUUCAAUGAUGUUAAGAUGUUAAUUCUCCCCAGUGACUCUAUAGGUUUAGUGGGAUCCCAAUUAAAUUCCACCAUUUUUUGGUAGACUUUUGUAACUUAUAAAAUUUACAUGAAAGGCAAAGAAACUAGAUUAUCCACAAUAAUUUUUAAAAGAUUUUAUUUACUUAUUUAUUUAUUUUUAGACAAAGGGUAAGGGAAGGAGAGAGGGAAAGAAACAUGGAUGUGUGGUUGCUUCUUGCACACCCCCUACUGGGAACCUGGCCUGCAACCCAGACAUGUGCCCUGACUGGGAAUGGAACCAGAGAUCCUUUGGUUCACAGGCUGACACUCAAUCCACUGAACCAGACCAGCCAGAGCAUUAGCCACAAUAAUUUUGAAAGAGAACAGAGUAGGAGAAUUGAGUUCCUCUUAUUUGAAGACUAUAAAGCUACCGGAAGCAAGGCUGUGUGGUAUUGACAAAAGAAUAGACACAUUAGUUAGUAAUUAUACAAAAGAAAGAGUUCAGAAAAGGCAUGCACAUAUGGUUCAAUUGACUUUUGACAAAGGUACGAAGGCAAAUUCAGUGGAGAAAGUUUAGUCUUUUCAACAUGUGAUGCUGAAAAAAUUGUCUAUGUGAGAAAACUAACAUCAAUCUUUAUCUAAGACCACAUACAAAAGUUAAAUCAAAAUGGAUUGUACACCUAAGUGUAAAAACUAAAACUAUGAAAACCUCUAGAAGAAAAAGAGAAAUUUGGCAGAGAUUUUAAAAAAUAGACACCCAAAGCACAAUCCAUAAAAGAAAAAAUCAAUAAAUUAUACUCCAUGAAAUUAAAUUUCUGCUCUUUUAAAAGAUUUUAUUAAGGAAAUAAAAUGGCAAGCCUUAGAGAGAAAUAUUUUAAGUGUAUCUGAUAAAUUACUAUAUCCAGCACCUACACAUAUAAGUAAUAAGAAAACAACCCAAUUAAAAACAGGCAAAAGACACAUAAUCAAAGAAGAUAUAUGGUGGGCAGAAAGGCAAAUGAAAAGAUGCUCAACAUCAUUAGUUAUUGGAGAAAUGAAAGUUAAAAUAACAUUGAGGCACUACUGCAAAACUGUGAGAAGGACUAAAAAUUUGAAAGCCAAGUAUGUCUACUUCUGGUGGAGAGCAGAGCAACUGGGCCCCUAUAUAUCGCAAUACGUUUUAGAACAUUUUUAUCAUUUGAAAAAUAAAUCCUAUACUCCCCAGCUGUCAUCCCCUUGAGUACUGAGCAACUGCCAAUGCAGUUUCUGUCUCUAUAGAUUUGCUUAUUUUAGACAUGUAAAUGAAAUGAUGUAAGUGGUCUUUUUGUAACUAGCUUCUUUCACAUAGCAUGAUGUUUAAACAAUGUAUCUAUGCUGAACCAUUAGUCAGUACUUAACUACUCUUUAUGAUCAAAUAAUACUUCAUUAAAUGGCUAUACCAUAUUUUGUUUAUCUAUCAGUUGAUGGACAUUUGGAUUGUUUUCACCUUUUGGCUACUGCGAAUAAUGAAUAUUCAUGUAUAAGUGUUUGUAUGGACAUAUAUUUUCGUUUCUCUUGGGUAUAUAACUAGAAGUAAUGACUUUGUAGAGUCAUUGGUAACUCUACAUUUAACCUUUUGAGGAACUGCCAAACUAUGUUCCAGAUUGGCUGUACUGUUUGACACUCACCAAGAGUAUACGAGGGAUCUAAUUUCUCCACAUUAUAAGUGACACUUUUUAUCCUGUGUUUUUUAUUACAUUCAUCUGCGUGGGUUUAAAGGGGUAUCUCCUAAUGAUGCCAGGAAUCUUUUCGUAGGCUUGUUGCCAUUUGUUUAUCUUCUUUGGAGAAAUGUUUCUUCAAAUUUUUUAAUCAUUUAAAAAUUGGGGUGUCUUGUAUUAUGAGUUGUAGAAGUUCUUUACAUAUUCUAGAUAUGUCCUUUAUCAGAUAUUGAGUUUGCAAAUAUUUUCUACUGUAUAGGUUGCCAUUUCAUUUUAUUGACAGUGUUCUUUGAAGCAUAUGAAUUUUUAAUUUUGACGAAGUCUAAUUUAUCUAUUUUUUUUCUCUUGUUACUUGUACUUUUGGUGUCACAUCUAAGAAUUCAUUGCCAAAUCUAAGAUCAAGAACAUUAAUCUAUAUUUUUUCUUCUAUGAGUUUUAUAGUUUUAGCCAAUACAUUUAGGACUUUGAUACAUUUUAAAAUAAUUUUUGUACAUGGUGUAAGGGUCUGGAUUUGUUCUAUUGCAUCUGCCUGUACAGUUGUCUCAAAAUCACUUGUUGAAAAAAUUAUUAUUUCUCCAUAACAGCCUUGGCAAAGUGAGUUGACCACAGACAACCAAUAGGUUUAUUUCUGGUCUGCAUACUCUAUUCCAUUGAUCUUUAUUUAUGUCGGUACCAUACUGUCUUGAUUACUGUUGCUUUGCAGUAAAAUUUGAAAUCUGGAAGUGAGAAUCCUUCAAAUGUUAGCUAUUCUGGGUCC